rnacentral:lncRNA from 1 species
UGGGCCGACUAAAAAAACUACAUUGGCUAACCGAUAAUCAACCUGACUCAAAUAUACAAAGUUCCCCCAGCUGGGUGGACGUCGGGUGCCUUCACUAACAUCCAGCCGGCUGAAGGUUGGUCGCCCCUAGUCGACACCAUCCCAACUAAACUAAAUAUGUCUCCCACGACUGUUCGGCAUGUAACCGACUUAAUGGUCGGUUAACAGCUG